UACGUAGGGUGCGAGCGUUGUCCGGAAUUAUUGGGGCGUAAAGGGCUCGUAGGCGGUUUGUCGCGUCGGGAGUGAAAACUCAGGGCUUAACCCUGAGCCUGCUUCCGAUACGGGCAGACUAGAGGUAUGCAGGGGGAGAACGGAAUUCCUGGUGUAGCGGUGAAAUGCGCAGAUAUCAGGAGGAACACCGGUGGCGAAGGCGGUUCUCUGGGCAUUACCUGACGCUGAGGAGCGAAAGUGUGGGGAGCGAACAGG
rnacentral:rRNA from 1 species